AUGAUGGCAUAACGGUCAAGCUUGUUUCUCCUGGGGGCGCUAUUCCGAGGAUAUUUGGGUGGCCUCGAGUCGCAGUGUCCUGGGCCUCCGGAAGCAUUGCCCCUAGCCCAAGCAGUGGAACUCAAAUCUGUCCCUGGAAAAAAUGAGAAUGGUGACAUAAAAUGUGAGCAAUGGCUGGACGUGGUGGCUCAUGCCUGCAAUCCUAGCACUUU
rnacentral:lncRNA from 1 species